GAUCUGCCCAUUUAACACAGAAGUUACAAAAUAUAUUCAAUGACGACGACGGAGAAAUCUAUCAAGUCCAUUGCCCCUAUAAACAUAGCUGUGGUGAAGUAUUGGGGCAAGGAAAACGAAGAGUUCAACACACCUUUAAAUUCCUCUAUCAGUGUAACGUUACAUGUCAAAGAUAUGUGCGCAGAAACAGAGGUGGUUGCAGAUAGCAAGUUUAAAGAAGACAAACUUUUCUUGAAUGGCAGAGAAGAAGAUAUUCAGAAGAACAAAAGAGUACAAAGAUGUCUUAAUAUGGUACGAAGUAAACCAACUUUGAAGAGAAAACACAAUGAGGAUGCAACACCAAUCGUAAGGUGUCACAUAACUUCUGCAAACAAUUUUCCCACUGCUGCUGGACUGGCGUCAUCCGCAGCAGGUUAUGCAUGUCUAGCCAAAUGUUUGGGUCAUGUGUAUAAUUAUGAAAAGGAUCUAUCAGUUGUUGCCAGACUUGGGUCAGGUAGUGCUUGUCGAAGUAUGCUUGGUGGAUUUGUCAAAUGGGAAAAAGGGAAAUGUCCAGAAGGUUCAGAUAGCUGUGCUGUCCAGAUAGCAAAUGAGCAUCACUGGCCCGAAUUAAAAGUGAUAAUACUAGUGGUCAGCAGUAAUCAAAAGUCAGUUGGAAGUACAGAAGGGAUGAGACGAAGCGUGACAACCAGUCAGCUACUAAAGUACAGAGCUGAACACUGUGUUCCUGGUCAUAUCGACAAGAUAGAGAAAGCAAUCCACUCCAAAGAUUUUCCAAUGUUUGCUGAAUUGACAAUGAAGGAAAGCAAUCAAUUACAUGCUAUUUGUCAAGACACAUAUCCUCCUCUUCGUUACAUGAACACAACCUCUCAUGACAUUGUCAACCUCAUAACAAAGUACAAUGCAGCAAAAUUGAAGGCUGCGUACACUUUUGAUGCUGGAGCUAAUGCUGUUCUGUUUACAUUAGAUGAAUUUUAUGAGGAAUUACUUUCAACGUUGUUAAAGUAUUUUCCUUUUACAAAUACCGAAAUUGAAAGCUGGAUAAAUAUGCCAUCAUCCCAAGUAAAAGAACUAAAGACAAAGGUAUCUAUCUAUAAUGAAAGUUUUUAACGAUGGGAGUGUUCUAAUUCUUGGUUUUGUGGAAUUUCUCACGAAAGGCUGCGGAACUACCGGAUGUAUGCAUUCACGAAGACGCAUUACAACGUAUUAUAUGCACAAUGCCUGGGCCUGGUGCAUCAGUUGUUGUGAGUGACGAGUAACAUGAAAAGACAAAUCUGAAGAAUGAAUAAAGUUUAUUUAAUCAUUUUAUACAUAUCUGUAGAUAUAUACUUUUAUAAUUGAAAAUAAUUUCAAAAUAUC